UACGGAGGGUGCAAGCGUUGUUCGGAUUUACUGGGCGUAAAGCGCGUGUAGGCGGCUCAUUAGGUCAGAUGUGAAAGCCCUCGGCUCAACCGAGGAAGUGCAUUUGAAACCGGUGAGCUUGAGUACGGGAGAGGGAAGUGGAAUUCCUAGUGUAGAGGUGAAAUUCGUAGAUAUUAGGAGGAACACCCGUGGCGAAGGCGGCUUCCUGGACCGAUACUGACGCUGAGACGCGAAAGCGUGGGGAGCAAACAGGAUUAGAUACCCCCGUA
rnacentral:rRNA from 1 species